rnacentral:rRNA from 1 species
UACGUAGGUGGCGAGCGUUGUCCGGAAUUACUGGGUGUAAAGCGCGCGUAGGCGGUAGGCCAAGUCUGCUGUGAAAUCGCCCGGCUCAACUGGGCGCGGUCGGUGGAAACUGGUCAACUGGAGGACGGUAGAGGCGAGUGGAAUUCCCGGUGUAGUGGUGAAAUGCGCAGAUAUCUGGAGGAACACCGGUGGCGAAGGCGGCAUUCUGGACCGAUAUUGACGCUGAGGAGCGAAAGCCAGGGGAGCAAACGGGG